rnacentral:SRP_RNA from 1 species
GGGCACAGUGGUGCAUGCCUGUAGUCCCAGUUACUCGGGAGGCUGAGGUGGGAGGAUCACUUGAGCCCAUGCCGAUAGGGUGUCCACACUAAGUUCGGCAUCAAUAUGGUGACCUCCCAGCAGCAGGGGACCACCAGGUUGCCUAAGGAGGGGGUGAACCGGCCCAGGUUGCAAAUGGAGCAGGUCAAAACUAAAACUCCCAUGCUGAUCAGUAGUGGGAUCGUGCCUGUGAAUAGCCACUGCACUCCAGCCUGGGCAACAUAGUGAGACCCCAUCUCUU